AAGUCUUGUGGUGUAUUACACAUCGGAUUGCAAAUCCGAAGAUGCAGGCUAAUUGCCUGCCGGGGCUUUCC
rnacentral:tRNA from 1 species